rnacentral:rRNA from 1 species
UGCGUAGGCGGUUGCCUAAGUCAGAUGUGAAAUCCCCGGGCUUAACUCGGGUGGUGCAUUUGAAACUGGGUGGCUAGAGUGCAGGAGAGGGAAGCGGAAUUCCUAGUGUAGCGGUGAAAUGCGUAGAUAUUAGGAGGAACACCAGUGGCGAAGGCGGCUUUCUGGACUGUAACUGACGCUGAGGCACGAAAGCGUGGGGAGCAAACAGGAUUAGAUACCCUGGUAGUCCACGCGGUAAACGAUGGAUACUAGGUGUAGGGGGCGUAGAGCCUUCUGUGCCGCAGCAAACGCAAUAAGUAUCCCGCCUGGGGAGUACGGCCGCAAGGUUGAA